AGCGUGGAGACAGGUGGUGCAUGGCUGUCGUCAGCUCGUGUCGUGAGAUGUUGGGUUAAGUCCCGCAACGAGCGCAACCCUCACCUCUUGUUGCCAUCAGGUCAUGCUGGGCACUCUAGAGGAACUGCCCCGGUCAACGGGGAGGAAGGCGGGGAUGACGUCAAGUCAUCAUGCCCCUUACGCCCUGGGCUACACACGUGCUACAAUGGCCAGUACAAAGGGACGCGAGACCGCGAGGUGGAGCUAAUCCCAAAAAAGUGGCCUAAGUUCAGAUUGCAGUCUGCAACUCGACUGCAUGAAGGAGGAAUCGCUAGUAAUCGCGCAUCAGCCCGGCGCGGUGAAUACGUUCCCGGGCCUUGUACACACCGCCCGUCACACCACGAAAGCUGUCUGUACUCGAAGUCGCUGAG
rnacentral:rRNA from 1 species